rnacentral:rRNA from 1 species
GACGUAGGGCGCGAGCGUUGUCCGGAUUUAUUGGGCGUAAAGAGCUCGUAGGCGGCUUGUCGCGUCGUCCGUGAAAACUCACAGCUCAACUGUGAGCUUGCGGUCGAUACGGGCAGGCUGGAGUUCGGUAGGGGAGACUGGAAUUCCUGGUGUAGCGGUGAAAUGCGCAGAUAUCAGGAGGAACACCGGUGGCGAAGGCGGAUCUCUGGGCCUGUCCUGACGCUGAGGCGCGAAAGCUAGGGGAGCGAACAGG